GACGAACGCUGGCGGCGUGCCUAAUACAUGCAAGUCGUGCGGACCUUGUUGAAAGCUUGCUUUUAAAAGGUUAGCGGCGGACGGGUGAGUAACACGUGGGCAACCUGCCUGUAAGACUGGGAUAACGCCGGGAAACCGGGGCUAAUACCAGAUCGUUUUUUCCUCCGCAUGGAGGAAAAAGGAAAGGCGGCUUCGGCUGCCACUUACAGAUGGGCCCGCGGCGCAUUAGCUAGUUGGCGGGGUAAUGGCCCACCAAGGCAACGAUGCGUAGCCGACCCGAGAGGGUGAUCGGCCACAUUGGGACUGAGACACGGCCCAAACUCCUACGGGAGGCAGCAGUAGGGAAUCUUCCGCAAUGGACGAAAGUCUGACGGAGCAACGCCGCGUGAGUGAAGAAGGCCUUCGGGUCGUAAAACUCUGUUGCCGGGGAAGAACAAGUGCCGUUCGAACAGGGCGGCGCCUUGACGGUACCCGGCCAGAAAGCCACGGCUAACUACGUG
rnacentral:rRNA from 1 species